rnacentral:rRNA from 1 species
CAGUAGCCGCGGUAAUACGUAGGUGGCAAGCGUUAUCCGGAAUUAUUGGGCGUAAAGCGCGCGUAGGCGGUUUUUUAAGUCUGAUGUGAAAGCCCACGGCUCAACCGUGGAGGGUCAUUGGAAACUGGAAAACUUGAGUGCAGAAGAGGAAAGUGGAAUUCCAUGUGUAGCGGUGAAAUGCGCAGAGAUAUGGAGGAACACCAGUGGCGAAGGCGACUUUCUGGUCUGUAACUGACGCUGAUGUGCGAAAGCGUGGGGAUCAAACAGGAUUAGAUACCCGCGUAGUCCCUGUCUCUUAUAU